GCGGUGGUAGCUCAGUCGGUUAGAGUACCGGCCUGUCACGCCGGGGGUCGCGGGUUCGAGUCCCGUCCACCGCGCCA
rnacentral:tRNA from 1 species